rnacentral:rRNA from 1 species
GGCGGCGUGCUUAACACAUGCAAGUCGAACGAAGAGCGAUGGAAGCUUGCUUCUAUCAAUCUUAGUGGCGAACGGGUGAGUAACGCGUAAUCAACCUGCCCUUCAGAGGGGGACAACAGUUGGAAACGACUGCUAAUACCGCAUACGAUCCAACCUCGGCAUCGAGGAUGGAUGAAAGGUGGCCUCUAUUUAUAAGCUAUCACUGAAGGAGGGGAUUGCGUCUGAUUAGCUAGUUGGAGGGGUAACGGCCCACCAAGGCAAUGAUCAGUAGCCGGUCUGAGAGGAUGAACGGCCACAUUGGGACUGAGACACGGCCCAGACUCCUACGGGAGGCAGCAGUGGGGAAUCUUCCGCAAUGGACGAAAGUCUGACGGAGCAACGCCGCGUGAGUGAUGACGGCCUUCGGGUUGUAAAGCUCUGUUAAUCGGGACGAAAGGUCCUCUUGCGAAUAGUUAGAGGAAUUGACGGUACCGGAAUAGAAAGCCACGGCUAACUACGUG